CCAAAGGCCCUCUUUAGGGCUACCAAAUUUAUUGUUUUGUAUUUAU
rfam:Parastrongyloides trichosuri strain KNP genome assembly, scaffold: PTRK_scaffold0000243